GGAGGAUGCGAGCGUUAUCCGGAUUUAUUGGGUUUAAAGGGUGCGUAGGCGGACGCUUAAGUCAGCGGUAAAAUUGCGGGGCUCAACCUCGUCGAGCCGUUGAAACUGGGUGCCUUGAGUGGGCGAGAAGUACGCGGAAUGCGUGGUGUAGCGGUGAAAUGCAUAGAUAUCACGCAGAACUCCGAUUGCGAAGGCAGCGUACCGGCGCCCAACUGACGCUGAAGCACGAAGGCGUGGGUAUCGAAC
rnacentral:rRNA from 1 species